GAGGGAGACAGUUGGAGUUGGUGUCAGACUUUGAGACAGCCAGGGAGGAGUCUGACUCUGUUUCCUCAAUUGUUCUAACUUGUAAAGCAUGGAGCAGAGGACCUGGCCCAGAGCAGAUACCUUCUCCCCAAAGGUCUGAACCAGAGUUUCAAAAACCAGAAAUAUAUGGACUUCACUAACAAUCAUAAGGCUCAAACUUAGUACCUACGACCCCAGAGACGAAGAUGAACUGUCAUUCUGAGGGAGAUUCCGGCCAAUCCCUGUGAAACUCAUUGGCUUUUCAUGGCCUCUGUGAAUCUCCAGUGUGUUGGAAAGAUGGGGGCAAUGGUUUUGCUAAGUCUGUGCGCAGACUCUCCAAAGGAAAAUUAGACAGCUCCUUCCCUCGCCCCAACCUGAGACUUUCUCAUGAUGGCAUCCUUCUCUUGGUUCCCCUGCCUCCAGGUGUUUCCUCUUAGACCUUGCGCCUCUUCUCCAUUGUGUGAGUUAAAACUCUCCCAAGAAUAAUAAAGUAAUAAAGCUCAAUUACUGA